AGGCACAUUUCAUUGACUUUUUUCCUUAUGUCAAGAGAAAAGAUAUUUCUGAUGUGCUAAACAAAUCUUUGGAGGUAAAUUAGCAGCAUGACCAAUUUGGUCAUUGAUGUCAGUCACAUUCAGAAAAAA